rnacentral:lncRNA from 1 species
GCUGUCUCCUUGCCAACCAGCAGCUCCCUUGGUAGGGGCAUGCAGAAGACCUGAUGACACAAACCCUCCAAAGAGUUUCACCCUCACCACAACAGGUGGCUUCCUGCUCGGCAGCCCAUCCUGCAUCACUUCAGUGGACUUCUCUGACAUCUACUAGACCACAUUAAAUGAAUCACAGCCUUGAAACUGAACUGGAAGGACUUCCUUCAAGAUUUUUAUCUAAUUCCUGUUGGACAGUGUAAAAUGCCACUUCUUCCAGGGUUGCCUGCAUAUCAUCAAAAGGGAAAUAGUACUCAUCGAAGAUGUGCCUUUGCUAGGAACUAGGACAAGGGUGGCCUUUAUAAAUUCAUGAAGAGAAGGAGCCAGCAUAUGAACUUGCUGCCUAUCUUUAGCAAGGAGAUGCAAAUGACAUCCACAAACCUCUUCUGCUGUAUACCUGGAUGAAAGCAAGGCUAGCUGUGUGUCCUAUGGCACCAAGGACUGAAAGAUUGUAAGAAGUAAGAGGGAAAGUGAUCCAAAAAGGUGGAACACCUAAUGUACAGCCCCAAGGAAGGAGCAUACUUGGAGAAUUCAAGGAACAGAAAGAAAAACAGGAAGGCUGGAGUGAAACUGAUUAAAUAAAGCAUCGUAACAUUAGAGGUCCAUCAUAGAGGCCAAGCCAAAUACAACUAUGUUUUCAAGCAUAAGAUGGAUAGAUGUGGUAAACCACAAGAAGCAAACAGCCCUUUAGAGGUGUGGAUUGACCUUGCAGAGUUACAAGUGGAGCCAGGAGAAAUCAUGUUGAGUGGGACUUCUCAUCCUACCUAAGAGAGACUAACAGAUGGAAAGCUGGGUACAGAAGGGAGAGAAGGCAGUAACAGUCAGAUUUCAAUACGCUGAGACUGUGACGUGGGACUUUUGAGUGAGUAACAUCUGCUCCUAGAACUGAGUUGAGUGGGGAUCCUCCCACACCACCCAGGCAAGAGAACUAACAAUUGAUGACUGCUCCAAAUCAGUCGCCAGUCUACCUAAUACUUCUACCUGGUAGGUAGCCUGAUACCCACUAACAUCAGACAGAGCCUCACUCUGUCACCCAGGCUGGAGUGCUAGAGUGCAGUGGCAUGAUCAUAGCUCCCUGAAGCCUUGAGCUCCUGGUCCCAAGAGAUCCUCUUGCCUCAGCUUUGCCAGAAGUGCUCUUCCUCUCUGUCCAGUGGGCAAGCACCAAUUCAUUUUCAAACUCUCCACUGAAGCAUCAAUUUUCUGUAAUGCCUUUCUUGACCUCAGAUGUGAUGCCAGAAGUAGAGCAGCCAUCUUGCAACCACAAAGCAACAGCAUGAGUAUGAAAGUUAGUGCAUUAAGGAUGCUGGAAUAGAAUGAUUGAAAGCCAGAUGCCUAAUGACGUUGCUGAAUAGCUGAAACAAUACCAGCAACUAGCUGGUCUUGCUCUGUUGCCUGGCCUGAAGUGCAGUGGCAUGAUCAUGGCUCACUGCAGCCUCAACCUCCCAGGCACAAGUGAUCCUCCCACCUCAACUUCCAGAAUAUAGAAGCUGGAACUACAGUGACCUACAUCCAAAGUGAAAAGUUAUUCAGCCUCUGAAGAGAAGCAUUUUGUUUGGGGAUCUUCAAGUAUGCUUGUCAGCACCGAGAACUGGAAAAAAAUCUCUGAUUGUCCUGCAGCAAUGGCAUUAAAGGCUCCUCAUAACAUACAGAACCAGAAUUGUGCCAUAAUUUACUGAAAUUGAACAUUGCUCUGUGACUGCUAAUUUUCCAUCGAGAUGAUUCUGUCUCUAACCAAGAAAAGAAAAGUUUGUCUUCCUGACUGCUGACACUGCUGACCAAGCCCACCACCAGAUGCCUGGCUGCACACCCAGAGGGCAGCCGCUUCCCGUGGUCCUCUCGAAGAACUUCCCUUUUGCAAUGCAUGUUUAGCAAGUGGAUGAGUUUGUCUUUUCUGAUUUCUCUGCAAGCUCUGCAUUGCCCACCUGAACCAGUGCUUCAGAAGAACUAAUGGGAUCUCUGACCCUCCAACAUCCUCUUCCAGACUUUCACUUUCCUGGCUCCUUGCAGGGACAUGUAAUAAACGUGCUCUCCAGAGAAAGCCUGA